rnacentral:rRNA from 1 species
GUCCACGCUGUAAACGAUGACGACUAGGUGUGGGGUGGUUCAGUCCCUUCCGUGCCGCAGCUAACGCAUUAAGUCGUCCGCCUGGGGAGUACGGCCGCAAGGUUGAAACUCAAAGGAAUUGACGGGGGCCCCGCACAAGCGGUGGAGCAUGUGGUUCAAUUCGAUGCAGAGCGAAGAACCUUACCUGGGCUUGACAUGCAGGAAGUAGAAACCGGAAACGGCGACGACCUGUUAAGUCAGGAACCUGCACAGGUGGUGCAUGGCUGUCGU